AAGACAAGAUCCCGCUCCUAACUCCCGCUAAGAAAAGCCCGUGAUCUAUGAGGCUGAAUAAAUAACCCCGAGUCCCCGCGUUUGAGGGACAGCGAAGCCGCUUUGGCCUCAUCCCGCCUCUCCGUUUGGCCAGCAUCCAGAAUUUCUCAGCUGAGACCUGACCACCGCGCUUCCAGCCCCCGAUGGAUCCCACCGGUCUCCGCAGGGGGCUUGGAGCAUCCCCACCUCUUUCGCCCUCAGAUGGCAGGUUUUUUGUCCUGCAAUAUACGAUGCUACAAAUAACGAACAGGGGAAUUACACUUUAUCCAAGCUGGGAUUGAUGCCCGCUGGC